GUCAAGGACUUGUGAGUGCGUUGGGGGCGCGAAAAGUGUCUGGGAGGGCGACUGAGAAAUGGCGGAUAUUCCUAAGAUGUAUUGAGCUCCUGACCAGCCGCUCCCCAUCUCCCCGGGGAACACUCCCGGUCCACCUCAGGGCCCUUAGUGGUGCAGCCCGCAGACCCUCCGGGUCUUGCGGUGGUAACACGGCGGUCCUCUUCCCCUGCACGCGGGUGGCGGCCUGCUGCCCGGCGCGUGGCUCUGGAAGGCACGACGGGGAGUUUCCACUGGGACCAUGCUCACCGGGGUCUGCUUGGGGGCCAUUCCCAGGCCCGCCGGUGGGCGGAACCGCAGCUUUCUGCGGGGGUCGGGGAAACGCGGUGGCCUGAGGGUGAAUUGUCGCCCGGGGUGGAGUCUGCUUGUCACCCGCAGAAGAUGCGAUUGCCAGGUGAAGGCAACCCUGACUCCUGGAGUUUGGCGCCCUGAAGUUCAUGUGGCAGCCAGUAGACCAGAUAAGCCGUGCUCCGCUGGGCAGCUCAGUUGCAUUACUGGAGAGCCUUCUCCCUGCUCAAGAGUCUCACUCCCCAGAUGGCUUGGCUCUCCGGGACCCACCUACUUCAGGAGGUGAAGGACCUGCUCCAACUGCAUCUUUGGGGUCCUGGAACAACAAGGACACUCAGUACAAAUGAUCAUUGGGAUUCAGGAGAGAGUUUGAAGAAUGAAAUCUGAAGGAGGACAGCAAGUUCAAAUCCUGCCUCAACAUUUUGGAGAAGCAACUAAGCAACUAAGCCAGACCCUGUCUCAAAAUAUUUAUGGAGGGGUUGGAGAUGUAGC